AUUGAACGCUGGCGGCAUGCCUUACACAUGCAAGUCGAACGGCAGCACGGGAGCAAUCCUGGUGGCGAGUGGCGGACGGGUGAGUAAUGUCUGGGAAACUGCCCGAUGGAGGGGGAUAACUACUGGAAACGGUAGCUAAUACCGCAUAACGUCGCAAGACCAAAGUGGGGGACCUUCGGGCCUCACACCAUCGGAUGUGGCCAGAUGGGAUUAGCUAGUAGGUGGGGUAACGGCUCACCUAGGCGACGAUCCCUAGCUGGUCUGAGAGGAUGACCAGCAACACUGGAACUGCGACAAGGUCCAGACUCCUACGGGAGGCAGCAGUGGGGAAUAUUGCACAAUGGGCGCAAGCCUGAUGCAGCCAUGUCGCGUGUAUGAAGAAGGCCUUCGGGUUGUAAAGUACUUUCAGCGAGGAGGAAGGCAUUAAGGUUAAUAACCUUAGUGAUUGACGUUACUCGCAGAAGAAGCACCGGCUAACUCCGUGCCAGCAGCCGCCGUAA
rnacentral:rRNA from 1 species